rnacentral:lncRNA from 1 species
GUCGUGGAUGCCAACGCCUCCCCCCGGCCGUCUGGCCCACCACCGAGCUUCCCGGCCGUGAGCCCCGACGUCUUCAACUCCGUCGACGAGGACGAGGACCUCUACGGCCGCCUCAAGUCCCUCCAGCGCCAGAUCGAGUUCGUCGACAUCCAGGAGGAGUACGUCAAGGACGAGCAGAAGAAUCUUAAGCGCGAGCUCCUCCGCGCCCAGGAGGAGGUCAAGCGGAUCCAGUCCGUCCCCCUCGUAAUUGGCCAGUUCAUGGAGAUGGUCGAUCAGAACAACGGCAUCGUCGGCUCGACCACCGGAUCCAACUACUAUGUUCGAAUCUUGAGCACCAUCAACCGUGAGCUUCUCAAACCCUCCGCCUCCGUCGCCCUCCACCGCCACUCCAACGCCCUUGUCGAUGUGCUCCCGCCCGAGGCCGACUCUAGCAUCUCCCUCCUCAGCCAGUCCGAGAAGCCGGACGUCACCUACAACGUGAGUGUCGAAACCCUAGAAAGAUUGAUUCUUCGAUCGAACAUAUCUCUGUUCUUAUUGAUUAGGGCUUGAGAAGAUCUCAUCGAGGGUUUGGAAAUUCGAGGGUAAAAAAUGAGGGAUUGGGGUCUUGGCAUGGAAGUUUGUUAGCUUGGUGGAUUAUUGCGGAUAAGACAGAAUUCAGAACUCUGCAAGCUUUCGAUUUCUUUACUUUUGCAUCUAGGUUAUGAAACAUUUAAUUUUGGGUUUUCUUGAAGAUGGAUUUAGGGAUUAAAGAAAGUGCGCCAUUUUUCUUGGAUUUUUUUGCGUGAUUUCGAUUGAUUAACAUGGAAUUUUGGGGUGGAUUUGGGAUUUAAAACAUGAUUAAACUCGUUUCUUAUAGUUGUUUGAUAGAUGCAUGCGGGAAUAAGAUAAGGUUUGGAAAUUAUUCCGCCUCAGUAAUGUAUUUAGUUCAUUUGAAUAUUUUCAAUUCAGUUUUUGGGUUUCCUUGGAGUUGAAGUUAGGGUUUUCAAGAAAGAAAAGUGUAUCUUUUUAACUUUUUCGUUUUUGGAAUCCGGGGAUUUCAGAUAUGUUGCUGGAUAUAGCUAAAAGUUACAGGAUGGUUACUGAGAAGAUGCGUAGUUUGUGGUAAUUAUGCUGUUUUCCAUUUGAAAGGUUUGUAGAAAGACACAUAAUUUAUUAUUUCGAUUAUCCUGGAUUUCAGGAUUGAAGUCCUCUACCUCUUGCUAGGCUGUCGCUAUUUUUCCAUCAUGAAGGGUAGGGUAGAUAUUGGAGAAGAAAACUUCCUAGGUUGCCACAUGUUUACAUUUUGCUAGAACAAGAUGUCUAAACAUGUGGCUCUUCAUGCUGCCAUCUUAUACUUGUCACUAAUGGCCACACAUUUGAUCUUCUAAGCAAUUUGAAAACUGAAUUUUUGUUAGAUAAAUUAAGUGUCAACCUUGCUGGUUGCUUUAGAUAAUAGACUGACGAGGAUAUGUGUGGUUUUUCAAAUCUCAUUGAUCCAGUAGAUUAUGAUUCUACACAAAAUGUUAUGGGUACAUAGAAUUUGGGUCAUUUUAAAAGUGAGAUAUGUUGUUAUUAUAAUUGUUACAUAGUUGAAGCUAAAUCUAAGAUAUUUGUCAUGGAUAUGAAAUGGUCAACUAUUGAUGGGGUGGGGUUGAAGGUUGGAUUAUAAAGUCUUGUUUUGAAGUUGAAAUGAUUGCAGAGCAUUGAUGGAUUUUGUGUCAUACACAUUUUGUGAACUGUUGGUAAAGACUAAAGUGAUUGGAAUAUUUACUCUCUGUUUAAUUUUAACACUAUCACUUUCAUCUAUCCAAUGAUCAUUCUGUACUUAUUCAAUAACUUCCUUAUAAUAGUCACAGAUAUGUUCAAUAAAGUCAGAUUGGAUGACAAGUCCUUUAAGGUUCCUAGUGUUGGUCAGAUGGUUAAAAUUUCAGAUCUAGAGAUAAUUGGGCUUAGAUUUGGGCUGAAAAGUUUUGCAUAUCCGGCUAGAAAUAACCUUGUUGGCAUUUGUCCUUGAGUCGAUGCAUAUCAGUUCAAAUGAUAUACAUCAAAACACUUGGAUGUCGAUGAUUCUUGUAAAUUAGUUUGGAAGAUGCAUGAGGGACUUGACUUUCUCUAAGUACAGAUCUCAUGGAAACUUAAGGCUGCAUUUGGUAUCAUUGUCGCUUUUCGUUUUUUUAUAAAAAAGCUGGAAAUAGGAUUUCUAUUUGUAUUUUUUUUGCAGUUUUCUGACCACAUAAAACAUGUUUGGUUCGCCUUUUUUUUUAUAACAAUGAUAUGGCUGACAACGAGGGAGGGGGGGGGAUGGGGCCGGCAACGUGGUUGAGGAUGAGGGAGAGCUCGAUGUUGGGCGGAGAGGUAGUCAAAGGAGUGGUAGAGGGAAAGAAAGUGGGCAUGGGGCCAGCAAUACGGCCGGGGGUGAGGGAUAACUUGGCAUCGGGCGAAGAGAUGGCCGAUGAGGCCCGGAAGCUGGUGUGGUUGGGUGGGUGCAAUGGGGCUGAGGGUGAGAUUGGGCGGAAGAAGAGGGGUUGGGAGGAGAAUGGUGAAAACCCACUUUUAAAAAAGUGGAAGUGAAAUUUUUUCACUUUCACUUUUUUCAGAAAUAAUGUAAGUUGUUUGGAAAAAAAAUAGAAACAAAAACAGGGUAAUAAACAUAUUUUCUGCAUUGGAUUCCGUGUUUCUAUUUUUUUAAAGAAGAAACAGGAAAAAGUACCAAACAUGCUCUAAAUAGAUUUCUGAUUUUUUAAGAAACCUCAUCCCAUCAUUAUGAUAUGCUUGGAAUGAUAAAGUAAAAUUGUGCUCUUUUGGAGGUGAUUUAUAGUAAAAAGUAAACUGUGAUCACUUCUACCAUUAGUCAACCAUGUCAAAUUGUCGAGGCUAAAGGGUUUGUUAUUAGUGAUAUAUGCAAAUUGAUGUGGAGUCCAAGGUUUUUAGAUGGUGAGAUAUUGGUUAUCUUGGUAAAUGGCCGCUAAGAUGGAAGGUGGGGAAAUUUUGGAAAGAUCUGAGCUAUUCCUAUAUAUUAGUUGAUAUGUAGGAAGCAAGACAUCGAUAUCUUGUCUGAUAUAGUAUUACUUAUUGUAUUUAGGCGUCCAUUCUGAUUUUUUUUAUUACAAAAAAAAUCAUUAAAGAGAAUUUGGUUUUAGAAAUUGAUGCCAAAGCAUGAAACUUGUAAAGCCAUGUAAAUCAAGUACCAACAAUAGGUGACCAGAUAAUACAGACAGGCUGGAUGAUGCUCACAACAUCACGAAACUGUGGUUCAAUAGAUUGUUGUGCAGUGAUGCCCCAGACUUACUGUUACUUAAAUAUCCCUGUAAUUUAUAGUCUAAGAUAGUUCCCAUUGUUUCAUGUAGUUAAUAUUGUAGACAUACUGAAUUGUGACCCAUAUAGGAAAAGAUCUUGAUGCAACUUCUCUUUUAUAAAUCUGCUUGGUAUGAUAUAGUCAAUAAUCUUUACUUGACUGUGGGUUUGUUACAAAGAUGAUUGUAUUUACAUUAUGAUUUGCAAAACCAAGCCAUAUUCUGUAGAGACAAUCAUUAUGCAUGCAGUAUUUUUUUCCCCUUCUCCCUUUAUGUGUGCUUUGCGUGCUUGCUUGCCUUCAUGUGUGCUUGCAUUUUUGCUUUUAAAAGAGAUGCCAACNNNNNNNNNNNNNNNNNNNNGUCCCUUCCUCCCCCCUACCCCUUUUUUCAAAGCAAAAAAAAAAAAAAAAGAGAUGCCAACCAAAAGAAAUUAGUUAUAGGGAAAAAAACACCCGGUUCUUGGUUAACUUAUUUCUGUAAAAUACAUCUUGGGGAGUGGUGGUUUAAGGUGUACAUGUGCAAUAUAUUUUGUAGCUUUUUUAGCCCUUCUGGCAAAAAUACAAGUUGGUUGGUUACCUUCAGAGAGAGAGAGAGAGAGAGAGAGAAUUGUGUUGUAUGAAAUAUUGAAGUGACUUCUAUGUAGUGUGUAGUUUUGCUUGCAGCAUUUGGUAUUGGUUUAGAAUGUGCUAUAUGAUUUUGCAGCUUUUGCAGCACUUUUGGUACUAUGACAUUUGUUUGUUGGUUGCCCUUUGAAAAAAAUUGUGCUGUAUGAUAGCUUAUAAAUGAGAGUUUAACUGCUUUUAUGUUGAAUUAGGCUACUAGUCAAAUGAGUUGAAUAUAGUAUGCAUUUCUUUUCUUCUAAACCUUUACAUUGGUUUAAACAACAGUUUAGUUACUAUGGUGCUUCUGGAAUUGCUGAUCCACAUAGUUGAGGAAUGCUUACUGAAGAAGAAACUCAACUUGACUGCACAGAUUACAUGCAUUAUAUGGUCUGGUCGGUUAAAAAGUAGCAAUCAUGUUAUAGAAAGCAGAUCAUGACUGAUGAAAACAAUUGAACUGGGCACAUGUUUCUGUGCUUCUCUGCUUUCUUAGGUCUCCUCUGUUAUCUCUUAAUGGUGGAGCUCUCAGAACCACGUGGCUAGAACUUAGGGAAAUACCAUUCUCUCUUCACUUUUCAUUUUGUUAUUGUUUUGUAUAUUUUGUUCCCUGUCCGUUUGUUGUCACUCUUUGGUGUUCGUAUCAACUUGGCAUGGUGGAAAUUGUUAUACAUCUUUGGCCUUUCCUCUCUUUAGCUCUUUUUUUUGUAUCACUUCAACUAAAGACAUGAAACAUCUAUUGAUGAUUUUUCCAACAUGUUCAAAAUGUAGAAAAAUGAAAAUGUAGUUUGUCACUUCAGUCAGUAAUUGAUUAACCAUCUUUUAAUUUUUUGUUUUUUUCUUAAACAUUGGCAUUCUUUAUUCUUUUGAUAUCAGCUGGCAGUUUCUGGUUAACUGUAAAAAUUGUAAUGAUUUUCUGUCUUAUACUUUCUUUUGUAUUCUCAGGAUAUUGGGGGUUGCGAUAUUCAGAAGCAGGAAAUUCGUGAAGCUGUUGAGUUACCUCUGACACAUCAUGAGUUAUACAAACAGAUUGGUAUAGAUCCUCCAAGAGGCGUUCUUCUCUAUGGCCCUCCUGGUACUGGUAAAACCAUGCUUGCCAAGGCUGUUGCUAAUCAUACAACUGCUGCUUUUAUUAGAGUUGUUGGGUCAGAAUUUGUUCAGAAGUAUUUGGGUGAGGUAUGGUUUUUUAGCAAAUCUGAAUGCAUUACAUGCUUUCCUUUUCUAUGAAAUGUUCAUGUCACCUAGAAAUUGGUAUUUAAUCAAAUUUCUAUAUUUUAAAAAUGAUAGUCUGUUUGGUUAUCUUUUAUUUCCUUAACAGAACAGUGUAUAUAAUUUUUAAAUGUGUUGAGGUGAUGAGGACUUGAUGCUUAAUUUUUCUUUUCUUUUUUUUUUCAACUGAUAAGGGGUAGCCAUUGCUUUUAUCUGUUCCUUACAAUAAAAAGGUUUUAAGGGUACAUGCAGUAACAAUUUUCUACCACUUGUGCUUCUUAGAUGUGCUAAUUUUUCUUAACAAGAUUGCCGAUCAUGCUUAACUUCAUGAAAUAGAGUAUAAAUUUGUUUAGUAGUUUUGUCAUUUCUAUUCUUGUAAUUCUCUGUUAGACCUUGAAUUUUAUACCUUUUUUCAUUGCAUUCAGGGUCCACGGAUGGUUCGGGAUGUUUUCCGACUUGCCAAAGAGAAUGCCCCUGCAAUCAUAUUUAUUGAUGAGGUUGAUGCUAUUGCUACAGCACGUUUUGAUGCUCAAACUGGGGCUGACAGGGAAGUGCAGCGUAUCCUCAUGGAACUCUUGAAUCAGGUAGAACUAAGUAGAACAAAGAUAUCAGAGGCACUGCUUUCUCAAACAAUUGUCCUUCCUUUCUCUUUUUGAUGAAUUAAUGCCUAUCCACUUGUUUGAAAGAGCGAAAGGUGACAGAAAUUAAAGAGAACUCCAACAAGUUCAACUAAACUGCCAUGCUAUUCAAGUUAAUUUUAUGAAAAACUCCUGUAUUUAGUUUUGCUGUUUUCUGCUUGCUGCUUGCUACUACUGUUUGUGAUGCGAUCUUCUCUCUUGGACCACCUGUUUCAAAUUAGCCUGUUUUGGAUAAAACCCCCUCUUUCUCUCUUUCUUAUCUCCGCGGGACUAGAACCUUCUCUCUGCAAUGGCGGCCUCCGCCAUGGUCGUGGAUGCCAACGCCUCCCCCCGGCCGUCUGGCCCACCACCGAGCUUCCCGGCCGUGAGCCCCGACGUCUUCAACUCCGUCGACGAGGACGAGGACCUCUACGGCCGCCUCAAGUCCCUCCAGCGCCAGAUCGAGUUCGUCGACAUCCAGGAGGAGUACGUCAAGGACGAGCAGAAGAAUCUUAAGCGCGAGCUCCUCCGCGCCCAGGAGGAGGUCAAGCGGAUCCAGUCCGUCCCCCUCGUAAUUGGCCAGUUCAUGGAGAUGGUCGAUCAGAACAACGGCAUCGUCGGCUCGACCACCGGAUCCAACUACUAUGUUCGAAUCUUGAGCACCAUCAACCGUGAGCUUCUCAAACCCUCCGCCUCCGUCGCCCUCCACCGCCACUCCAACGCCCUUGUCGAUGUGCUCCCGCCCGAGGCCGACUCUAGCAUCUCCCUCCUCAGCCAGUCCGAGAAGCCGGACGUCACCUACAACAGAUCAUAGAUAAUCAUCAAAUAGAUCUUACAUUUUCUAACUCUUAUAUUGUUCUAUGCACCAUCUUUGUAUCCAAAGACCAUAUAGUGACUCUC